rnacentral:lncRNA from 1 species
UUGCAGCCUCUGUCUCUACACUCACAGCCACUUCCAUAGCCGUUUCGGGACACUCUCGAUAGGUUUGCAUAUUGCUCACACCAAGCCACUCCUCAACCAUUUUCUGCUGCUGCUGUUGAUGCCCUAGGUGCUCUCAGAUGCUCAUGGUCUCUCUCUGACCAGUGCUAAGAUACGCUCAUCUCCAUAAGCCAUCAAGCCUCUUUUAUAGAGCCAAAACCUAUUCU